rnacentral:rRNA from 1 species
AGUGAACGCUGGCGGUAGGCCUAACACAUGCAAGUCGAGCGGUAGAGUUCCUUCGGGAACUUGAGAGCGGCGUACGGGUGCGUAACACGUGUGCAACCUACCUUUGUCUGGGGGAUAGCCUUUCGAAAGGAAGAUUAAUACCCCAUAAUAUAUUGAAUGGCAUCAUUUAAUAUUGAAAACUCUGGUGGAUAGAGAUGGGCACGCGCAAGAUUAGAUAGUUGGUGAGGUAACGGCUCACCAAGUCUGUGAUCUUUAGGGGUCCUGAGAGGGAGAUCCCCCACACUGGUACUGAGACACGGACCAGACUCCUACGGGAGGCAGCAGUGAGGAAUAUUGGACAAUGGGUGAGAGCCUGAUCCAGCCAUCCCGCGUGAAGGAUGACGGUCCUAUGGAUUGUAAACUUCUUUUGUACAGGAAUAAACCUAUUUACGUGUAAAUAGCUGAAGGUACUGUACGAAUAAGCACCGGCUAACUUCGUGCCAGCAGCCGCCGUAA